ACGGUCAUGUGUUUGUAUGUGUACACAUGUGGCUUUCCAUGCGCUCUGUGAAAUAUCAGGUAUUUCUGGUUCUGCCAGUGGAGUUUUUAUUGGGUGUAAUAUUUGCUGUCAACUCUUGUCUUUGAGGUUGUGUGUGUGUUUUCAAACUUUAUGGAAGUUCUUAUUUCUUAAUGGUCUAAGGCUUACAUUUUGUAAAAGGAUGUGGGUAGAAUUUAAAUACCCAAGUCUAAGGGUACAAUGCUCAAACUCCCUCAGACUUGGUAGGUACCUGAAUCUCUUAGCACGUGCCCUUUUUCAGUAUCUCAGCUAUCUAUUAAUACAAAUACAUUUCUACAGAAAAUCAAGCUAAGCAUAUUAUUUUAAGUGUCUUGACGGUUCAGUAGCAGGAUGUAGAGUAUUGCGCAUGGCUACGAGGGGUUUGGGAAGCCUUGCCACUAAAUGUAGCUGGCAAAUAGGUGGCCUGCAUCUUCUAACUAGCCAGAGCAGCAAAAGGAGAAGUCCCCACAUGUGCUCUUGUUUGCACAUCUUAAUGACUAAGCUAUAUUUACUCUCAAAUGCUGUGGAAGGUCCAAACAAGGGUGCUGCUUUUGGCCAGUUACCUGAAGCUCUGCUUCUUUUUAUCGCUCUUUUGUGCAUGUCUCCAGGCAGAGUUUUAAUGGGUGGCAUUCACAGGCUCCUUGGACUCAGGGACAGUGAGUGCUGGCCUGUGUGCUCUGCUUGGAGUCCUCACUUAGACCCCUUUUUAUUAGCCUAUGAACAUUACUCCCAUUGAAGCUUUCUCUAUUGUUGCCCCCAAAAAUCUGUUAUACUUCUAGAGGCCUCCCUGGCCGAGAGAAGAUUAUUGUUCUCUUGGUGGGCCUAGGCCCACCAUGCCUGGCAUAACUAAUUGGCCUGAAGCUCUGCGCCUGCCCUUCUCUGAACUGCUUCUGCCUUGACAGUGUGAAAGUUUCAACAGAGGAGAGAUUCCCUCCCUCCCUUUGCCCAAGAACUGCCUAUAGCCAGGUGUUGAGAGUGCUUGCUUACGAGGGUGAGGGAUACGGGUUCAAGCCAACUCAUUCCUAAGGAGCAAUAGAACCCAGACCUGCCACAGCCUGAAUACUCCACCCACUCGGCUUGAGUGAGGUUGUCAGCGGGAUGGAGGCAUCGUCACUACCAUCGCUUUCUCCUCCUCAUGUCUCAAAGAAAAGUAAGACCAAAGGAACAGAUUGACUACCUAAUUCAUGCAAGAGGUUCCAGGCUUUAAUUUCUGAUUUGAUAUAGCCAAUUCUUUGUAGCCUUGAGCUGGGUGUUUAUCAAUGUUUCCCACUAGCUAGUUUAAGUGCUUCAAGGUUCAGUUUUUGGUCCCUGUUUUGAUUCCCCUUCUGAAUCACCAGACUCUUCCCGUGUACUGUAUAGGGGACUUAGGUGCCCAAUUCAGGAUGUUGAUCCAACGCCAGAAACCAGGCGCCCAAAAUUUGGCAUUGUGACAACUAGCAUUGGAGCACCUAAGUUCCUUUCUGGAUUUGUCAUUGAUUUUAAACAUAAUGUUAAUAAAAAUGAAUAUUGGACAGUAUCUUCAACUGUCUCCCUAAAAAUCCCCUCUUCUCCCUUGUUUAGCUGUCAGUCUCUUGUUUUGUGUGAUGGUAUUAUUUCACCUCAGUUGCCAUUGAAUUUUCAAGGGCAGAUGACACCUGAGUUUGCAAUGUAUUUUUCUUUAUAUAAAACAAUAAAUGUGUCUCUUUCUCUC